GUAAAAAAAUAAAAUAACAAGAAAAACAUGGUUAGCUAGUUCGUAACUUGACAAAAACCAAUGACUGAGACAAUAAAAGUAGGAAAAUGUUUUGCAAGUUAGCUAGUUACGUGCCUAAGUUGGUUGAUUAUCAACAUCCAUCAGCUUUGUUGUUGUUGUGAGUCGCAGAACGCACGCUGGCUAUCUGCCGCUCUAACAACUUCCGGUUCAUCAACAGUUUACGAGGAAACGAGCAGCUAGCCUUGCCUCUUCAAUCAACAUUUGUAAAAUACGACUAAAAGACUGCAUAUAAGAUUUCCACGGGGCAGCAAUAUGGGUAUGCAUUCCUGUAAAGAUUGUGGCAAGAUGGCCCCCUCCCUCUCUCCUCUCUGAGACUCCUGGUGCCACCGCUGCGUCUGAUGUCAGCGGUCAUGUGGCAGGUGGUGGAGCGGCGGAGUUUGGAGCAUUAUGGGAAGCUGGAGGACUUUGUGUGUUUGAUCACAGAGGCAGUUCCAGAACUACUGACUGACAGGCAGAGAGCAGUACUGCUUCUGGGCCUCAGAGCAAAGAUGUCCCAGGAGUGGAUAGGUGAGAACGUCGCC